rnacentral:tRNA from 1 species
GCGGGGGUGCCGCAGUGGUCAACCGGGCUAGGUUGAGGGCCUAGUGGCUCAGUGCCUUUCGGAGGUUCGAAUCCUCCCCCUCGCA